UGGCUGCUGUGGGGGCAAGGAAGAGUCAGUGCAUAGAGGAGCUGCCUACAAGAAACAUCAAGGAGUUCAGCCACUGGAGGGCAACGUGAUCCCAGACACCAGGCAGAGGCAGCUCUGUAGCCCGCCGGAGUAGGGAGCGUCACCCAGCAAGCACUGCCGCACUGGAGAUGAAUUUCUGCGCAUUAAUCUGGCAGAAAUUAGGUGAGAACACUGGUGUAUGACCAAAAUAAUCACCCAGGACAAAGGCUCAGACUGCUGAGGUGUCAACCCCCUGUGCAGAGCUCUUGCCAGAGAGACUACCUGAGAUAUUGUCAGAAUCAAGUAGCUCAACAAUGCUGUAUGGAGAACAAUCUUCCAAGCCCAGCUUGCUGCAGAGCCAGCCACAGAAUCCUUUCUCCAUAUCCCUGACAGCGUGCCACCAGUACCCAAAGGACCAUGCUACCUGGGCUACAGCUGAAUACAGGCCUAGGGAGAAAGAAACAACCAUAAUUAUAAUUGGGUAGGAGAUAAUCAAAAAGGGACAAAAGGUGAUUUUGUGCCAGAAGGUCCUCUCUUCAUUAUACACCAAGAAGAUGUUGUACCAUGUAAUGGUUCCAUAGUAGAAUGAAACCACGAAGGACACUACAAAAAUGACGGGGAGGCAGAUGAUGGUCCAGAGGACAAUGUGAGGUCCUCUGUCUAGCCCAACAUCACAUUUCUUCUUCUUCUCAGGUACAUCUUCUUUAGGAGGUUCCUUUGACUUAGCCAGUUCCUGCAGCUCUUUAUCUGUUAGGGUGACGUGGAUGUCCACCAUCUGACCCUUCUUCUUUCCCCUGGUGAUUGUUCCAGUCAAGGUGACAUAGCGGCUGUCUAAAGGCAUGUUCCAGACACCUACAACACAGAUAAACUCAUCUACAUCAGAUUUAUUUGCUGUACAAAGUAUUUUGUGUAAAUCUUCAAAGACCCCAAAGACAAUUAGAUAGUACAUAUGGAGUUGUAUUUAGAAUCAGAUUUUAAAAGAUGGAAGACAAGAAGCAAUGCAGUAUGAAGAAAAUUACCACAAAAGAAAAUGGAAGAAGAGCUAAUGAGGAAAAUGACAGGAAUUCCAAAUGAUAGAAAUCACAAGGGAGAAAACUCUAGUAUCUCCACUAGGGAAAAUACGUGAAGGGAAAGUGCUGCAAGAGUAUAGGAGAAUGAGAGAGAAUGAGACAGAGUAACUCAAUUGAAAAUGGUAUACAUAUUUUCUCUGUUUACUUCAUGGAUUUAUUCCUGAACAGCAUGGACACUUGGGAUUAAUUAGAUAAAUAUCACUGAGACUGUUGUUUUGGAAUAAGCACAUCCACACAUGGAAUUAUACCUGAAUAGCUAAUAUUUCACUUUACAUUUGCAUUGUAGCUCAAUCCAAAUUAAUUUUUGAAGUUUAGAACAACUUAACAAACUAUCAUAAAAUUAUUUUUGCAUUUUAAGAGAUCAGUAGAGGCACCAAACUGGACAGUGCUGGUAUAUGUGUUAAAGCUACAAAGGGUCUGCUUUAGCUUUCAAGUGACAUUGGUAUAGGAUGGGCCAUGCAGUAGUACUGGCCAUAAACUCCUCUUUGGGGCUACAGCAUAUUUCCUCCUGGUCUUAAUUCUGACUAGCUUGGAAGAAGGUCUUCAGAAACUCUUAAAAAGAGGCUGAGCAGCUUGAAGGGCUGCAAAAAAGUAGGAAGGCAGCAGGCAAGUAAUGAUAGGUCUGGGAUCAUGGGGGCACCUGGUGUAGCUGGUGGCCCAGGAGCAUUUGAGCCCCUCUCAGCCUGCACUGCUGACUCACUGGAGUAUUUAGCCACAGGACCUGCCUUCCACACUUCUUCCUGCAAGGGCAUCCAGGACAGAUAGCAGAAGUGAAAGUGACUCGAAGAUGCCCCGUGAUGACCUUGUCAAAUAAUCAACCUUCAAGAGGAAGCCGUGCUGAGUGCAUGCAAACAGAAGGCAACAGCAAAUCCUAGAUAAUAAGUUAAAUUCCCUAUCAAAGGUAGAGCCACUAACUCCAUCUGCUUCCAUCCUUUCACUUUACAGGCAGUUGUUCAGGCAUGGACAGCGGCUUGAUCACGGCUUAGAAGGACAUCAUUGGCUUAAUGCAUGCAUAGCACUGCAACCAGCACAUCAACCCCAACCAGCACAUACAUUUAAAACUAAGACUGUAGCAAUAACCAAAGUUUGCAAAGAACUGCAGGUGACAUCCCAAAUCAGCCUGGAAUGCUUUCUGUUUCAGAGCAUUUUAAUAUAUGAACUCAAGCUCUCCUUGCCUGCAGUCUUGGAGAGGGUUGGGCCCACAGUCACUUCCAUUUGACCUUAGAGCAUGAUGGCAUCAAAAAAGCUUAUGUGAAGUGAGUGUUCUCAGGACUACAUACCAUCUGUCAUAGACUGACCCAGGAACUUGGAGCCUUCCUCAGAGCUCUUCUCCCCUCCUUCUUCAUCUGCCUGUUCUUCCUCCACCUUAUUGUCAUGCUCGGACCGAUACACGAUUAUUGACUCGGGCCGGGACUCUUUCUUCUUCUUUUUCCUGCGGUCCAUAGUGGCUUCCCCAUCAAAGGUGACAGUGGUUGCCACAGCCCUUCUCAUUGUGCCACAGCGAGGGCUCUGGCCUCCAGACUUGCUGUCUUUCUGCACAGUCUCCUCCAUCCCGCUGCUGCUCUCAGUCACCUCACCUGGCAUCUUGUAGCACCUGUUUCCAAUCCAACAGCACCAAUCCUGCACUUAGAAGUCAUUGAUUAACAAUGGUCCCAUGGAUGCUUUGUUCUGGUAAGAUGUCCCACUGCUGGUAUCCAAACUAUGCACUCCAUUCCCAGCCUAAAAUGAGAGAGAAAGCUGAAAAAGUGUCUUUGUCUUACCAAGUAGAAAAGAUUGGCAGAAUUAUCCUCAAAAGAGUUACUUCCAACUGGUUUAAAUGUCAUCUGAAGAUCUCUAUUACUGUCCUGAAAAUCAAUUCUCUUACAUGCCUACGUGUUUUGUGGUUUCUAAUCUAUCUUGAUUCUUAGGGUCCAGUUUUCACUAGAACAAACCAAAGCUACUGGAAAGAGUAUUAACCUUUAUAAGAAGGGAUUAAACAUAGCCAGCUUACUGGAUGAAUUUAACAUUCCUCUGCAAUGCUGGAAACAAACAGAAGACAAUAGUUUUGGCCCAAAGGCAUCAGAAUAAAGGACUGAAACCAUAGAUGAAAAAGAAGUUGACCGAUUUAAGGGACUGGCCUAGAGACAACUGCAACAUGAACACUGUGCUUGUCCAGCAUUACAACAGCUAUAUUGGUGCUAGCCUUUCUCAUUUUGAGCUUCUAAUGAUUUACUCCCUUCUGCAAAGACAUUACAAAAAUUAAUCAAAUUAUGUCAAAAUGAGUGAUGUUUCAAACUUUAACAAUUUAGCAAUAUGUAGUGUUGCCAUACUUUAAAAAUACAGAAUAUACAGGGGAUUUAAAGCAAAAUUAUGAUUAAGAUGACUUUGGUGGAGAGGGAAUUGGGAACCACAGCAAAUUCUUCUGCUUGUGCAGAGAAAACAACACAAGUGUUCACAAAUCUUUUUAGCAAAAAUCAAUUUUUGCUCCUCAUUCAAGCAAAGUUAACAGCGAUAUCAAGUGAAACUGUCAUCCAUGGGAAAGCUGCCUAAGUAAAAACAUAAUUAAACAUGCAUCGAGGCAGGCAAAUCCUGUUCCAUGAAUAUGGAAAAAGGAUUAAUGGUUCUCAGAUUUCAUAACAUUUAAGCAAAGUGACUGUGCCAAGUAUUCAUGAAGCAUUUAGGUACAAAUCUGAAUACAAUGAAUAACAUUUUAACAACUCUGAAGAGCUCUGUUGAACAUUUACGUGAACAUUUGUAUUUAAAAAAAUGCAACUGACCAAUAGUUAAGCUUCUACCUAGUAACUGAGUCUUUCCUUUAACAGGAAACUAAGAAACACAAGUAUCACAGUUUACAGCCUACAUAAUGUUGGGAAAUAGUUUUACUUGAAAGGAUGACAGAAAAAAGUUAAGCAUUUUUAAAUUUGGCAGUAUGGUCCUGGUCUUCCCACAGAUCUAAGAUUUUGCUGGUCUGUUUUGAAAUUUUGUGCAGAACUUUAGAUCAACUAUUUAUGCCUGGUAUGCUCACACUUAAACACACCAUACCCACACAAAACUUGUAAUUGUAUCACUUUAACACCUAAGACUGUGCCCAUUUGGCUCUAUGGAGCUUCGAAGAAUUCAACAAUUCAGAUUAUUUUUGUGCAUUAGAGAAAAUAAAUCUUCCCUGGUGAUCAGAAGACACAUAAAAUGGACUUAAAAACCCCCUCAAAAUUCAGUAUACCCUAGAAAUCAGACUACUUCUAAAUUACUGGGCAGACAAUACUUUUAGCUCUGCAGCAUGGCUGGAAGGAGUCUGUUGCCAUCAAACCUGCCAUAAAAUAUGCAUGUCUAAAUUAGCAGACACACUGGAAAACAAAUUCAUGUAAGCUUUUGUUUGUUGGCUUUUUUGUUUGCUUGGUUUUUGUUUUGUUUUGUUUUGUUUUUGUUUUAAUGCCUUUAGGGGUAAAUGGAAUUAUUUUAUGCAAUGGAAUAAACUCACUCUUUGUAGUAAAUUCA